UACGUAGGUGGCAAGCGUUGUCCGGAAUUAUUGGGCGUAAAGCGCGCGCAGGCGGCCUUUUAAGUCUGAUGUGAAAGCCCCCGGCUCAACCGAGGAAGGUCAUUGGAAACUGAGAGGCUUGAGUACAGAAGAGGAAAGCGGAAUUCCACGUGUAGCGGUGAAAUGCGUAGAGAUGUGGAGGAACGCCAGUGGCGAAGGCGGCUUUCUGGUCUGUAACUGACGCUGAGGCGCGAAAGCGUGGGGAGCAAACAGG
rnacentral:rRNA from 1 species